CGACUUCUGGGGUGUUUGUAUGCGAACUAUGUCCCUGAGCCGAUAAGUUUUACCUAAGGAUGUUGAUUAUUAGCUAUUGUGCAAGCCCGGCUCGUAUCGGGAAGCCUACGGUUAGAAUGAUACGUCCGCCCUGAACACCCGGUGUUCAGGACAAAUGUGAGCUGCGGCACCUUGGAAGUCAC
rfam:Colwellia sp. PAMC 21821, complete genome.